UCCCUGGUGGCUCAGAGGUUAAAGCGUCCGCCUGCAAUGCGGGAGACCCGGGUUUGAUCCCUGGGUUGGGAA
rfam:Ovis aries breed Texel chromosome 1, whole genome shotgun sequence.